UACAGAGGUCUCAAGCGUUGUUCGGAUUCAUUGGCGUAAAGGGUGCGUAGGUGGUGAUGCAAGUCUGGUGUGAAAUCUCGGAGCUCAACUCCGAAAUUGCACCGGAUACUGCGUGACUCGUGGACUGUAGAGGAGAUCGGAAUUCACGGUGUAGCAGUGAAAUGCGUAGAUAUCGUGAGGAAGACCAGUUGCGAAGGCGGAUCUCUGGGCAGUUCCUGACACUGAGGCACGAAGGCCAGGGGAGCAAACGGG
rnacentral:rRNA from 1 species